AUGAACGCUGGCGGCGUGCCUAAUCCAUGCCAGUCGAGCGAACAGACGAGGAGCUUGCUCCUCUGACGUUAGCGGCGGACGGGUGAGUAACACGUGGAUAACCUACCUAUAAGACUGGGAUAACUUCGGGAAACCGGAGCUAAUACCGGAUAACAUGUUGAACCGCAUGGUUCAACAGUGAAAGACGGUUUUGCUGUCACUUAUAGAUGGAUCCGCGUCGCAUUAGCUAGUUGGUAAGGUAACGGCUUACCAAGGCAACGAUGCGUAGCCGACCUGAGAGGGUGAUCGGCCACACUGGAACUGAGACACGGUCCAGACUCCUACGGGAGGCAGCAGUAGGGAAUCUUCCGCAAUGGGCGAAAGCCUGACGGAGCAACGCCGCGUGAGUGAAGAAGGUCUUCGGAUCGUAAAACUCUGUUAUUAGGGAAGAACAAAUGUGUAAGUAACUAUGCACGUCUUGACGGUACCUAAUCAGAAAGCCACGGCUAACUACGUG
rnacentral:rRNA from 1 species